rnacentral:rRNA from 1 species
GUCGAUAGAACAAUGUAGAUAAGGAAAGUCGGCAAAAUAGAUCCGUAACUUCGGGAAAAGGAUUGGCUCUGAGGAUUGGGCUCAGGGGUCCCUGGUUUGACGUUGUGGCGGCUAGGAGAGACUGUGGCUCACGCUGCGGACUUUCCUGGCUGCCCUUCUGAAGGCCAGGGGAUGUGUUUCGGCACUUUCCCUGAUGCGUAGAACAAUCAGCUCAGAACUGGAGCGGACAAG